GAUUUUAAAGGAACAUACAUGUGUUUACUUGGUUUAGAUUGCCAGCUUACUUUCUUAAAUUUACUCUUUUGCACAUCAGUCUAUUUUGCAAAAGAUUUCCCUAAAGCUAUUGCUAUUCUGCCUCAGAUAAAAUGAAACAGAGUCAAUAUGAGGAUUCUGAAGUCCUAAAAGAAGAUGAAAGUCACUUGAAAGAAAGAACUUAGUUUCCCAAAUGUCUAAAUGGAGUAGUCUUCUGGAUGAUCUGUGUUGAAUUGUGAAGUGACUGUGGAGGAAACAUGCAUGACAUUAUACCACAGAGACAUUAAGCAGGAGUAAAAAAUUACAAAAAAAAAUUGAAAGAGCGCCUCCCCGGUGGCACAGCGGUUGAGCACUGGGUUGCGAAGCUGCCCACAGACUCUGCAGCGCCGGUUCGAUCACCAGCUGCCAGGUGUUAUGUCCUGGAAUUGUCUAUGAUUGCUCCGCUGAUAAAUUUUUAAAAUGGAAAAAUAAGAGAGUUCAGCAAUGUUACCAGAGCACAAAGGAAAAAUCAAUAGUAUUUGUCUACAUCAGAAACAAUAACUAGAAAAUAUAGUAGAAGAUAAAAUGCAAAUUAUAAAAGCAAGAAACCAAAACUUAAAAGAACCAAAGAAGAGCAACAAAACUUUUCUAGGGGCAACCCUAAAUAUUUCAACAGCCCUCUAGUAUAAAAUUAAAAAAUCUCUAGUAAAGGACAUAGCAAUGCCAAUGUUAAAUGACUGUGUUUGUGAAAUAUAAUCAAAUCCCGGCAGGAUUUGUAUGUUUGUUUGUGGAUGAAACUUGCGUACUGAUUCCAAAAUGUGUAUGAAUGAAGGCCCCCGGCAAUUUUAAGGAAAAAAAUCAAAGAAGAGUAGGUUUUCUCUGCUGUUGACAUGACACAAAGUCAUCAGAUUUCAAAUAAUGUGUCUUGGGCAGCAACUGUCAAGAAGACCCAUUUACCAGAAUAGAGAGCUGAGAAUCAGGUUUUUCGUGUAUGACAACUUGAUCAAAAUGCUAUUAUAUAAGUUUGGGAAAUGAGAAAUGAUAGAAUAUGUUAACAGAAAUAAUAAAAUAUGAAAAAAAGCAUGCAAAACAAUGUUACUUAUUUUUCAAGGAUGCACAUAUAUGUAAUGAAUACAGAGAAGGUGGUUUAGCAGUAGGAAUGAGUAGGAAUGAAAAGGAUAUAGAAGAAAAAUUAAUAUUAAACAAGAGUGUGCCUUAUAAAUGACAUAUGAUAGGAGGCUGUAGACUGAAGAUUAGUAAUUGACUCAAUUCUAUGAAUCCGAAACUUAAAAUUUUAAUCUGGUUUGUAAACAAAUACAACACUGAUAAUAUCUGAAAUGCCAGGGCACCACAACCCUGAGAUCUUUGUGAUUUUGCCUAUUAAGAGAUCAUGCUACUUCCCUUCAAUGUGGUAGACAGAGUUCUAAAUUCCCACCCCCAUUCCAAUUCCUGCCCCCUGGUGUACAGUCAAAUAAUAAUUAUGCUCCUGCUAUGAAGGUAUUUUGUGGAUGAAACAAGUUCCAAAAUUAGUUGACCUCAAGAAGGGACAUAAACCAGUAGGUGUGAAUUAAUCACAUGAGCCUUUUAAAAGCCAAGAAUUUUUUUUCAGCAGAUCACAGACAAGGAAGUCAGAGAGAUACACAUUUUCUUACCUGAAAGAAAGCACCUAUGUCCAUGUUGUGAACUGCCUGUCAGGUGGCAAAAACUGAGGUUGUUCUUUGGUGUUUGAGAGUGGUCUCUGACCAAUAGGAAGAAGAAAAAUAGAGACCCAAGAUUUCAAGCUAAAGAAAAUAUAGUCUACUGACAAUUAAGUACCAUGGAAAAAGAGCCACAUCACA